UCCCGGAUGUUAGCGGCGGACGGGUGAGUAACACGUGGGUAACCUGCCUGUAAGACUGGGAUAACUCCGGGAAACCGGAGCUAAUACCGGAUAGUUCCUUGAACCGCAUGGUUCAAGGAUGAAAGACGGUUUCGGCUGUCACUUACAGAUGGACCCGCGGCGCAUUAGCUAGUUGGUGAGGUAACGGCUCACCAAGGCGACGAUGCGUAGCCGACCUGAGAGGGUGAUCGGCCACACUGGGACUGAGACACGGCCCAGACUCCUACGGGAGGCAGCAGUAGGGAAUCUUCCGCAAUGGACGAAAGUCUGACGGAGCAACGCCGCGUGAGUGAUGAAGGUUUUCGGAUCGUAAAGCUCUGUUGUUAGGGAAGAACAAGUGCAAGAGUAACUGCUUGCACCUUGACGGUACCUAACCAGAAAGCCACGGCUAACUACGUGCCAGCAGCCGCGGUAAUACGUAGGUGGCAAGCGUUGUCCGGAAUUAUUGGGCGUAAAGGGCUCGCAGGCGGUUUCUUAAGUCUGAUGUGAAAGCCCCCGGCUCAACCGGGGAGGGUCAUUGGAAACUGGGAAACUUGAGUGCAGAAGAGGAGAGUGGAAUUCCACGUGUAGCGGUGAAAUGCGUAGAGAUGUGGAGGAACACCAGUGGCGAAGGCGACUCUCUGGUCUGUAACUGACGCUGAGGAGCGAAAGCGUGGGGAGCGAACAGGAUUAGAUACCCUGGUAGUCCACGCCGUAAACGAUGAGUGCUAAGUGUUAGGGGGUUUCCGCCCCUUAGUGCUGCAGCUAACGCAUUAAGCACUCCGCCUGGGGAGUACGGUCGCAAGACUGAAACUCAAAGGAAUUGACGGGGGCCCGCACAAGCGGUGGAGCAUGUGGUUUAAUUCGAAGCAACGCGAAGAACCUUACCAGGUCUUGACAUCCUCUGACAACCCUAGAGAUAGGGCUUUCCCUUCGGGGACAGAGUGACAGGUGGUGCAUGGUUGUCGUCAGCUCGUGUCGUGAGAUGUUGGGUUAAGUCCCGCAACGAGCGCAACCCUUGAUCUUAGUUGCCAGCAUUUAGUUGGGCACUCUAAGGUGACUGCCGGUGACAAACCGGAGGAAGGUGGGGAUGACGUCAAAUCAUCAUGCCCCUUAUGACCUGGGCUACACACGUGCUACAAUGGACAGAACAAAGGGCUGCGAGACCGCAAGGUUUAGCCAAUCCCACAAAUCUGUUCUCAGUUCGGAUCGCAGUCUGCAACUCGACUGCGUGAAGCUGGAAU
rnacentral:rRNA from 1 species